rnacentral:rRNA from 1 species
UACGUAGGGAGCGAGCGUUGUCCGGAUUUACUGGGUGUAAAGGGUGCGUAGGCGGCCUGGCAAGUCAGUAGUGAAAUCCAUGGGCUUAACCCAUGAACUGCUAUUGAAACUGUCGAGCUUGAGUGAAGUAGAGGUAGGCGGAAUUCCCGGUGUAGCGGUGAAAUGCGUAGAGAUCGGGAGGAACACCAGUGGCGAAGGCGGCCUACUGGGCUUUAACUGACGCUGAGGCACGAAAGCGUGGGUAGCAAACAGG